GGUGGUUUAAAGCUCGUAGUUGGAUUUCGGAAGGUCCUUGGCAAUCCGCCCCUUCGGGGAGCGGGUUGCUGGCCUCCUAUGUUCCUAACGGUCCUCAUCCGCGAGGGUGGGGAAUCAACCGCUAGGAUCGUUUACUUUGAGGAAAUUAUAGUGUUCAAAGCAGGCGUAACUCGCCUCCGAAUACGUUAGCAUGGGAUAAUGGAAUACGACUUCGGUCUUGUUUCGUUGGUUUCGCUUGGCUGAAGUAAUGAUUGAUAGGGACAGUUGGGGGCAUUAGUAUUUAGUUGUCAGAGGUGAAAUUCUAGGAUUUACUAAAGACUGACCAAUGCGAAAGCAUUUGCCAAGGAUGUUUUCAUUAAUCAAGAACGAAAGUAGGGGGAUCGAAGACGAUCAGAUACCGUCGUAGUCUCUACCGUAAACUAUGCCGACCAGGGAUCCGGAGAGUUUGCAUGGAUGACUCCCCGGGCACCUUGUGAGAAAUCAUAAGUGUUUGGGUUUUGGGGGGAGUAUGGUCGCAAGGCUGAAACUUAAAGGAAUUGACGGAAGGGCACCACCAGGAGUGGAACCUGCGGCUUAAUUUGACUCAACACGGGGAAACUUACGAGGUCAGGACACUGUGAGGAUUGACAGAUGGAUAGCUUCAAAUUCUA
rnacentral:rRNA from 1 species